rnacentral:lncRNA from 1 species
GCGGGGCCAGGCACCUCCUCGGCUUCCCGCAGGGCCCGCCCCUCCCCAGGGUUCCUGCGCCGCCGUGGAGCUGGGCGGGCAGAGGUGUACCCCCCAGGCUCCCCAGCAACCUGCGACACCGGCCGCCGGGGAGAGCGGGCCUGCAACGUGACCUCCGCUCCGAGGCGCCUCCCGCUGCCCGCUCGGCGGCCGCGCUCCCCGCCCCGGUCUCGGAGUCCGGGAAGCGGGUCGGCAGACUUGCCGAGUGGGAGCCGCGCGGCGUCCGAGGAGCCAGCCGCGACCGCUCUUAAGCAUAUCUCCAAGUGGAAGGAAUGUCUUCUCUGGAAGCCUUGGGCCUUGCUGCUGUUGGAGGAGAAAAAAGGAAGGCGGAGGGCCAUUCUGUUGCCUGAAUUCCACUCGCCAUCCUCACCUCCCAGAAUAGGGCUGGAAUCUUUCCAAGACCUACGUGCGUCUGCUGGAUGACUCUGGGACAGGCCCAUAAGGGAACCCCAGAUCAGAAGAGGAUAAUGGGUAACGGCUACCUCAAAGACUACUGGCAGGAUGAAAAGGGGUCACAUCCACAAAUAUGUAGCGGUGGGAGAAAGUUUUGAGUGGUCACAACCCCAAGGCCCAACCAGUUCUACAUGAGCAUUACAGACAUCCACUUCCCAAAAGAGCAGGUGGGUUUCUCUGGAGUGGGUGGCCAGUUGCUAGAGCCUUGGAAAAGGCUCCUGCGUGGUUUUGGUGGCAUGAAGUCAGGUGGACACAACCUUACAAUCAGAGCACUCCAGAGACCUUGAGGUGGGCUACCUUUGGUAAGAUGUUACAGGAUUUGGAAAGGUUAUAUAGACAAGUGCUAUCCAAUAGAAAUGAAAAAUAACUUGUAAUUUAAAUUUUUUAAAAAUAGGUGAAAUUUUAAUAGAAUGC